rnacentral:lncRNA from 1 species
GGAAAACCCUCCAUUCCCAGCCACCGGCCACCCCUCUCCGCAGACUGCAACCGCGGAGGCGCUCGGAGCCGGAAGGGGACGCUUUGGGAAUGACCAUGCUCCACCGAGGGACGGAGCCGGCCCCCAGCUUCUCCACACAGAGCCUCCUCCACUAACGCUCCAAAAACCAAAAACCGUAAUUGCCAGAAGAAGCGUUAAAAAUCUAUUCCAGCCACUAACCUCACAUGCACACGGAAUAAUUACUCUGGAUUCUGCAUUGUGAGCUGCUCUCCAU